GGCAUGAAUUACUCAACCAGUAAACAGAGCCCCAAACUGAUCUGAUAAAGGACACUGGGAAUUUGUACCUCUAUUCUCUCCCCCAGAGACUUUCUAGGAAAAAAAAUGAUGGGUCCCAGGUCCCCGAAUAGCUCCCCCAUCCCCUCAGAAGUGGCCACUAAGCACAUCUGCCUGUGGUUGGGUCUCCACAGCCUGUGGUGAGAAAAUGAGAGAUUCAAAUCCUGUUGCCUGCAAACCAUGAACUUCAAAGAAAGCUGGGUGUUUUAGUCCUUGAUAAUGAGAACAUUGUUGUGUUUGCCCACCGUGCAGAAAGACCUCCACCAAUUUCUUUUUUUCUUUUUUUUUUUUUCCCGGAGCUGGGGACCGAACCCAGGGCCUUGCGCUUGCUAGGCAAGGGCUCUACCGCUGAGCUAAAUCCCCAACCCCGACCUCCACCAAUUUCUGCUGGGAACUUUGAACAGGGGCCAGAGCACCCCGUCUCUGGGUAGGAGCUCUGGGGAGAAGCCCACAGACUGUCA
rnacentral:lncRNA from 1 species